CAGCAGCCGCGGGAAUACAGAGGGUGCGAGCGUUAAUCGGAUUUACUGGGCGUAAAGCGUGCGUAGGCGGCUUUUUAAGUCGGAUGUGAAAUCCCUGAGCUUAACUUAGGAAUUGCAUUCGAUACUGGGAAGCUAGAGUAUGGGAGAGGAUGGUAGAAUUCCAGGUGUAGCGGUGAAAUGCGUAGAGAUCUGGAGGAAUACCGAUGGCGAAGGCAGCCAUCUGGCCUAAUACUGACGCUGAGGUACGAAAGCAUGGGGAGCAAACGGGAUUAGAUACCCCUGUAGUCCCUGUCUCUUAUAU
rnacentral:rRNA from 1 species